AAAAAUUUCAAAUUCGAAAAUAAAUACUGAGCAGUAAGUAGUUGUAAUGUUAUAUCAAAUACUAUAUACGAUCGUAUAUAGUAUUUGGUUAUAUGCACAAUGCAUAUUAUCGCUUCCAGUUGGUACUGAUUACUGUUGUCUCAUGUCUGUUACUACUCAGCACGCAUCAUCUAUCUACUACCUACCUAUUGAUUGACGUUUUUAACUUUUCAACUUAAAUAACAAAUUGUGAAACAGUGAAUAUUAUCAUUUUUUAUUAAUGGUCCAUUACAAAAUUAUGGGCUAAACCUCUCAAAUACUCAAUAAUAUUACGGUCCCUGAAAUGUUGAACUAAAUUUAAAAUGCGGUCUGAUGCUUCGACAUAUUUUUUUUUUAAUGGUGGUGGUUCAUGGCCUCCAACAAGAAACUCAUAAUACAGAUCUCUUUCUGCCUGAACUUUUUUCAAUUCAAUUAUAAACUGCCAGAUCGUCGGAUGAUUCAUGCUGAGCUGUGCUUGCAGUCGCCGAUGAGAAGCUUCUGCUACGUUGUUUGUUUUCUAUUUUAAACAAAACCAAUUCAAUUAAGACUCUAUUGUACAAGUUCCAUGUCUCAAUCGGAAAUGCUGGUACCCUCCUCAAGCCUUCUCUUCUCAAUAUUCCGAUAUAAUACAUUUCCAGCCAAUCUAAAAUUGGUUGUAAUGUAGGCUCUACCCGUUCCAACUCUUCACUUAAUAUUUCAAAGCUUUCAACAACGUUUAUGGGAGGAACAAACGCCAAGGCAGUUAUCAUACCUUACGCCAUCAAUCCCGCAGUUCCAAUUUGUUUCUUCAAAUUCUGAAGAAGAUGGAAAAAACACCCACGAAUUUCUACUUCAGGAAAUUCGUUCCUAAACGCGUUGUGGAUCGCUAGUUCAAAGUCCACAGAGACACUUCCUACGUUGAUGCCUGGCGAUAAAUUUUUUAUUUGUACAAGCAAAUUAUUGUAUGUUGCUUGACUUUUAUUGGGCAAUAUGGCAUAAACACAUGGAUGUACACCUCCAUUUCGACAUCCUAAUAUUACGAACACUUGAGAAAAUAGUAUGGGAGCUAUUUUGAAAGUCCCAUCUACAAACCAUUGUUCAGAUGUUGAUAAUAUCUAAAAUGAAUCCAAAAAUUAGAAAUUCUUAAAAAUGAAUUGGUUUUAUUAUUA